UACGUAGGGUGCAAGCGUUGUCCGGAAUUAUUGGGCGUAAAGAGCUCGUAGGCGGUCUGUCGCGUCGGCUGUGAAAACCCGAGGCUCAACCUCGGGCCUGCAGUCGAUACGGGCAGACUAGAGUGUGGUAGGGGAGACUGGAAUUCCUGGUGUAGCGGUGAAAUGCGCAGAUAUCAGGAGGAACACCGGCGGCGAAGGCGGGUCUCUGGGCCAUAAACUGACGCUGGAGGAG
rnacentral:rRNA from 1 species